rnacentral:rRNA from 1 species
GCAUAUCAAUAAGCGGAGGAAAAGAAACCAACCGGGAUUGCCCUAGUAACGGCGAGUGAAGCGGCAAGAGCUCAAAUUUGAAAGCUGGCUCCUUCGGGGUCCGCAUUGUAAUUUGCAGAGGAUGCUUCGGGAGCGGUCCCCAUCUAAGUGCCCUGGAACGGGCCGUCAUAGAGGGUGAGAAUCCCGUCUGGGAUGGGGUGCCCGCGCCCGUGUGAAGCUCCUUCGACGAGUCGAGUUGUUUGGGAAUGCAGCUCUAAUUGGGUGGUAAAUUUCAUCUAAAGCUAAAUAUUGGCCGGAGACCGAUAGCGCACAAGUAGAGUGAUCGAAAGAUGAAAAGCACUUUGAAAAGAGAGUUAAACAGCACGUGAAAUUGUUGAAAGGGAAGCGCUUGCGAUCAGACUCGCCCGCGGGGUUCAGCCGGCAUUCGUGCYGGUGUACUUCCCCGUGRGCGGGCCAGCGUCGGUUUGGGCGGCCGGUCAAAGGCCCCUGGAAUGUAACGCCUCUCGGGGCGUCUUAUAGCCAGGGGUGCCAUGCGGCCUGCCCGGACCGAGGAACGCGCUUCGGCUCGGACGCUGGCAUAAUGGUCGUAAGCGACCCGUCUUGAAACACGGACCAAGGAGUCUAACAUCUACGCGAGUGUUCGGGUGUCAAACCCGUGCGCGCAGUGAAAGCGAACGGAGGUGGGAACCCCCCGGGGUGCACCAUCGACCGAUCCUGAUGUCUUCGGAUGGAUUUGAGUAAGAGCGUAGCUGUUGGGACCCGAAAGAUGGUGAACUAUGCCUGAAUAGGGCGAAGCCAGAGGAAACUCUGGUGGAGGCUCGCAGCGGUUCUGACGUGCAAAUCGAUCGUCAAAUUUGGGUAUAGGGGCGAAAGACUAAUCGAACCAUCUAGUAGCUGGUUCCUGCC